UACAAAGCCAAAAAGAGGAGAAUUUACAGUGAUGAAAACUUCCCAGACAAUGCAGGAAAUGAGUGAGGCCCUGUGCAGAGAACUCCCAUGGUGCAAACGUAUCAGAGGACCUCUUUGUGGAAAUAUGUGAUCUAUUUGCCUUUGGGGACGCUGAUUUAUGCCUCUAGAUUCCAUUUCCUAAUCGGUGGAAACAAUAACAUGGCCCACCUAUUUUUGUACAGAAAGGGCUUCAUUGCUAUCAAUCUCUUGGGCUGCUGGGCCUCACUCCAAUUGUUCCUUCAUGCUGCCAUUAAGAGUACAAAAGGAUUCCUGAUACAAUGUGCCCUUGACUAAGCCUGUAUCUUGUCUGCUGCAUUCUAACACGCUCUCUUACAUUCUGCAUGUGAAAGCCACCAAUGAGGGCUGAAACCAUCUACUGUUGGGAGAGGGAGCCCAGGAACUUUCCUUUCCUUAGGAUGUACAAGGACUGGCGUCACCAGUUAGCCCAAAGGGGAUGAUGAGGAGGAGGCAAGGAAGGUGAACAGAGCAGGAGGACCCACACACUCUGUGCACCAGCCAAGGGCGUGCAUGCUGCACCAUUUAAUGGGAUGUAACAGGAGCUGUGCUUCCCCAUGUUGGGGUCUUCCAGGAGACUCUACCGCCCGCAACAGGUGCCAGUGCUUUAAAAGCAUGAUAGACUCUGUCACUGGCGCAUUGACCAGUGAUGUGAGUAUCUUGGGAAGCUAAAUAAUGAUACGUUGUUUCUGUUGUUUUUCAUAACAAACCUCUGCUGCAUCCAACCAAGUCCAUGUUUUGCCUUCUCAAUCAUUCCAUAAUUGAGCAACCUCCAAAGACAACCCCUCUAUUUUGGCUCGCAGUUUGAACAGUGGUGUCUUUGCUGAAACUCAUUAUGUAGGUGGGGGGUAUCUUUAAAGGGAUGUUUGUUCAUUUACCUGAACUUUGUAUGAGAUGGGAGCAAGAUGUGGUAUUUUAAAAAAAUCCCAAACCAACAACUUCAGAGGCGGAGCAGAUCUGAAUUGUGAUAUCCCCAAAGUUUUGGGACUACUUAGAUCCAGGAUUUUUGUUCAGCUCUUCAAGGAAAAAUCCGUGCAGGGAUAAUAGAGAUGAUUUUCUAAUUGUAUGCACAAAAUAAAAAGGCCUAUUAUCCUCAAAUCAAGAGGUGAAAACAUACUUGGUUAGCUAAAGAAUCCCACCGGUGUCCCAAGGGAAUGGGGUGAUCAUUGCCAAAAACUAAAGGAUCCUUUUAAAAGAUCCUGACAGUGGUAAACUUGUACAUUAACAUAAAUAUCUCAGAGACCAAAUAAGGUGUUUUUUGCUGCUACGCUUGUUACUACUAUCUUUUUGUGGUUGAGAUUGAGAGAAAUGUAAUCAAUGGGUAAUUAAUCAAGCAGUUUACUUUGCAGUCCUCCUAAGAGAAGGGUUGAACUUUUUAGCUUCAAGCAAUCAGAAUUCAGCUAGGACUUAAACUAGAGCAAUUUUAAUUAGAUGCAUAGAACUGUCCAAAUUCCUUCUUCCCACUUGGAAUAUUAUGUUUAACUUAGGCAGGAAGAGGAAAGCAUGGACGUACUGAGUGUGAAACAAUCUUCUGCACUUUGUGUUCUAGUGGAAAUCUGUCACAUUUCAAAGAUUUAAAAAU